UACAGAGGUCUCAAGCGUUGUUCGGAUUCAUUGGGCGUAAAGGGUGCGUAGGCGGCGCGGUAAGUCGGGUGUGAAAUCUUGGAGCUUAACUCCGAAACUGCAUUCGAUACUGCCGUGCUUGAGGACUGGAGAGGAGACUGGAAUUUACGGUGUAGCGGUGAAAUGCGUAGAUAUCAGGAGGAACACCGGGUGGCGAAGGCGGGUCUUUUGGGCCGAUACUGACGCUGAGGAGCGAAAGCGUGGGGAGCGAACAGG
rnacentral:rRNA from 1 species